rnacentral:tRNA from 1 species
UGGGGUGUGGCUCAGUGGUAGAGUGCUGGCCUAACAUGUUUGAGGCCCUGGGUUUGAUCCUUAGCACCACAA